rnacentral:lncRNA from 1 species
GAAAAAUAUAUAAAAAAAAGAUAAUACCAAGAUCACAAAUACAUACACUAAAAUUCAGUACAGUUGUUAAGAAUGGACAAUAAAUUAGACUCAGUUUCCCAAACACCAAAGCAAAAAAACACAACACAAUCAGUAUAAAAUUUAAUGUUCAUGAGACAGAAUCAGUUGCAGAGAAGAAAAUCCAGUUCUACUUCCUAUGAAGGCUAAGAAAAAUCUCUGCCUAUGUGAUGUAAUAUAGUAUGUAGUAAACAUAUGGACCCUCUUCAAUGAGAUUUUGUUGGUUUGAUUCACUUAAAAGAUGGAUUAUUAUUCAAUGACUAUUAAAAGAGCCACACUUGAUGUUCUGGCCUGAUUGGGACUGUUGGUGUGGUGAUGGUGGUGGUAUAGAAUAUCUUGGAGGAAGUGACUGGAAGCUAUCCUUCAUAAGAUUCCAUAUGGGUUAUAAGAGUAACAACUGAGUGUCGGAUAAAAAUGCAGCACCUCAGCGUGAUGACUAAUAUUUUGAUUCUGUACCAGAGGUACUCCAUGCCAAUUAAAAAGGCAGAUCCAUUUCUGCCUUUUUACAAUUCAGAAGGAAAGAUCAAAACUGACACCCAGAGAUUCAAGUGCCCACAAAACACUCUGAUGUACUCUGCAGUAAAAAUAAAAAUAACAUUGCCAUAGGCACUCCCAAAUAUCUGGCUGUUUGCAGAGCUAAGAACCCCACCACAAAGGAAGUUACCUCAGAGGAUGGAACUUGC